AAUAACAAUAUGAAACAUUUGAUUGACUUUAAUAGUUACCAGUUCAGUUUCGCAUUGUACCUCGACGAGUACAUAUCGCAGGUUUCGCAGGAUACGUUCUCUGCGAGUAAGAAUGAAGAGUUAGAGAGAGAAGAAGAGAAGAGAAGAGAAGAACGAAUAGUUAUAUCAUUCUUCUUUCAAUAUUCUAUAUGAUUUCUUGUUUCAGAAUUAAAUGGUGUAGUGGGGUAAUCUCCCACUCCUGAUGAUAAUAUAAGCGUACCGACUUUGACAGUCUUCUCACGCAUUUCGACGAAUAAACAUAACAGUUCUUGCAGUAUGAAUUCUCCGCAAGUAGUAGAGAAGAGUUAAUGUAAAUACAUAAUUAUAUCACGCAUUUUGUCAAUAUUCUAAACGAUUUCUUGUUUCAGAAUGAAAUGGUGUAGUGGGGUACUCUCCCACUCCUAAAGAUAAUAUAAGCGGACCGACUUUGACAGUCUUCGCACAAAUUUCGACGAAUAAACAUCGCAGUUCUUGCAAAUGAAAUGGUGUAGUGGGGUACUCUCCCACUCCUGACGAUAAUAUAAGCGCACCGACUUUGACAGUUAAUGAUACAGUCUUGUUACGAGUUUCGACGAAUACACCUCGCAGUUCUUGAAAUACGCAUUCUCCGCAAAAUUAAAUGAUGUAGUGGGGUACUCUCCCACUCCUGACGAUAAUAUAAGCGCACCGACUUUGACAGUUAAUGAUACAGUCUUGUUACGAGUUUCGACGAAUACACCUCGCAGUUCUUGAAAUACGCAUUCUCCGCAAAAUUAAAUGAUGUAGUGGGGUACUCUCCCACUCCUGACGAUAAUAUAAGCGGACCGACUUUGACAGUCUUCGCACGAAUUUCGACGAGUACACAUCGCAGUUCUUGCAGUAUGAAUUCUCCGCAAGUAGUAGAGAAGAGUUAAUAAUUAAAUGGUGUAGUGGGGUACUCUCCCACUCCUAAAGAUAAUAUAAGCGGACCGACUUUGACAGUCUUCGCACAAAUUUCGACGAAUAAACAUCGCAGUUCUUGCAAAUUAAAUGAUGUAGUGGGGUACUCUCCCACUCCUGACGAUAAUAUAAGCGGACCGACUUUGACAGUCUUCGCACAAAUUUCGACGAAUAAACAUCGCAGUUCUUGCAAAUUAAAUGAUGUAGUGGGGUACUCUCCCACUCCUGACGAUAAUAUAAGCGCACCGACUUUGACAGUUAAUGAUACAGUCUUGUUACGAGUUUCGACGAAUACACCUCGCAGUUCUUGAAAUACGCAUUCUCCGCAAAAUUAAAUGAUGUAGUGGGGUACUCUCCCACUCCUGACGAUAAUAUAAGCGGACCGACUUUGACAGUCUUCGCACGAAUUUCGACGAGUACACAUCGCAGUUCUUGCAGUAUGAAUUCUCCGCAAGUAGUAGAGAAGAGUUAAUAAUUAAAUGGUGUAGUGGGGUACUCUCCCACUCCUAAAGAUAAUAUAAGCGGACCGACUUUGACAGUCUUCGCACAAAUUUCGACGAAUAAACAUCGCAGUUCUUGCAAAUUAAAUGAUGUAGUGGGGUACUCUCCCACUCCUGACGAUAAUAUAAGCGCACCGACUUUGACAGUUAAUGAUACAGUCUUGUUACGAGUUUCGACGAAUACACCUCGCAGUUCUUGAAAUACGCAUUCUCCGCAAAAUUAAAUGAUGUAGUGGGGUACUCUCCCACUCGUGACGACAACAAAAUCGGACCUUUGACUGUUUUUGACAGUUAUUGGCUUAAUUUGAUUUCGUAUUUCGAGGAGUGAACUUAGAAAUUUUCGCAUGAUGCCACUCAUUUCGAUGCUGCACUGUCGAAGACUGACGAUCUACCUCCAUGUGUGGACUUAGAAAUUUUCACACUUUCGAGGACUGUCAAUCUAUCUCCACGAGUGAACUUAGAAAAUUUCGUAGAUGCCAUUCAUACUUAAAUGCGAAGAGGGGAUACGCGGCUUCGAGAGAUGACAACAAUAUCGGAUAUUUGACCGACAUUUAUAAUUCCUGGUUCAGUUGUGCGUUGGACUUUGACCAGUGAACUUAGAAAUUUUCGCGGAUGCCAUUCGUGCAUGUAUUAACAAACAGUUAAUUCAAAUAUAUAACAGCUUAUUUGAUUUUAGACUUAAAUGCGAAGAGGGGAUACGCGGCUUCGAGAGAUGACAACAAUAUCGGAUAUUUGACCGACAUUUAUAAUUCCUGGUUCAGUUGUGCGUUGGACUUUGACCAGUGAACUUAGAAAUUUUCGCGGAUGCCAUUCGUGCAUGUAUUAACAAACAGUUAAUUCAAAUAUAUAACAGCUUAUUUGAUUUUAGACUUAAAUGCGAAGAGGGGAUACGCGGCUUCGAGAGAUGACAACAAUAUCGGAUAUUUGACCGACAUUUAUAAUUCCUGGUUCAGUUGUGCGUUGGACUUUGACCAGUGAACUUAGAAAUUUUCACGGAUGCCAUACGUGCAAGUAUUAACGAACAGUUAAUUCAAAUAUAUAACAAUUUAUUUGAUUUUAGACUUAAAUGCGAAGUGGGGAUACACGGCUUCGAGAGACGACAACAAUAUCGGGUCUUUGGCCGACCUGUAUAGUUCCUGGUUCAGUUGUGCGUUGGACUUUGACCAGUGAACUUAGAAAGUUUCGCAUCUUUGGAGAACUUUAAAAAUCUAUCUCCACGAGUGGACUUAGAAAUUUUUACACUUGCGUGGGCUUUCACAAUCUAUCUCCUCGAGUGGACUAAGAAAUUUUUGCACUUGCGUGGUCUCUCACAAUCUAUCUCCACGAGUGGACUUAGAAAUUUUCGAAGGAUGCCACUCAAAUUUCGAUUCUGCACUUUCGAAGACUGACGAUCUACCUCCAUGUGUGGACUUAGAAAUUUUCAUACUUGCGUGGAUUUUGAAAAUCUAUCUCCACGAGUGGACUUAGAAAUUUUCACACUUGCGUGGACUUCGACAGUCUAUCUCCACAAGUGGACUUAGAAAUUUUCACACUUGCGUGGACUUCGACAGUCUAUCUCCACAAGUGGACUUAGAAAUUUUCGCAUGAUGCCACUCAUUUCGAUUCUGCACUUUCGAAGACUGACGAUCUACCUCCAUGUGUGGACUUAGAAAUUUUCACACUUGCGUGGACUUUGAAACUCUAUCUCCACGAGUGGACUUAGAAAUUUUCACACUUGCGUAGACUUCGACAAUCUAUCUCCAGGAGUGGACUUAGAAAUUUUCGCAGGAUGCCACUCAAGCUAGUAUUAACGAAGAAUCGACGCAAAUUUCGAUGCUGCACUGUCGAAGACUGACGAUCUACCUCCAUGUGUGGACUUAGAAAUUUUCACACUUGCGUGGACUUUGAAACUCUAUCUCCACGAGUGGACUUAGAAAUUUUCACACUUGCGUAGACUUCGACAAUCUAUCUCCAGGAGUGGACUUAGAAAUUUUCGCAGGAUGUCAUUCGAGCGAGUAUUAACAAAGACUUAAAAAUCUUAUUGCAGUCGCGCGCGUAGUGAUAAAGUAAUCGAGUGUUCCUAUCAUUAAAAUAAAAAUAUCGCGAAGUAGAAGCAGUGUUUGUUCGUUCGCGUUUCGCGAUUUAAACCAUAAGUGUUAUUACAUGGACUGCGCGCAAUGCAGUCGUUAGAGUCAGUGUUUGUUCGCGUAGUUUUUUGAUUUUUUAACAGUCGCACAGACUGUUACUUAUAAAGAAUAGUAGAGUUUCGCUAAAUAGAUUCAGUGAUCGUUCGUUAAUAAAUAACUACCGCGAAUUAGAGUCAGUGCAUCACUGAAGAGGAUCUCGACCAACUUCGAUGUCGACCUACCUCAUUUUCAACCAACUACAAAUCAUCCACCCUCAAUUUCGACCUAAAUCGCGGUCCAGUGUUUUGGAGCCAUCGCAGAACUUCUUAAGUAGUUAGAUCAUCGAGGGAACGAUCAUCGAGGGACCGAUCAUCGCGGGACCAAUCAUCGCGGGACCAAUCAUCGCGAAAUUAAAUUUUUACAGGAUACAAAGUUUACAGAAAAUAUGUUAAAUAUAAAUAUCUUUAUGCAUUUAAUUUUAUAUAU